ensembl:processed_transcript
GCUCAGUAACUUUAAACUGCGUUUGAAGUUUAUCGCUUUGAAUUUGCCAUAAAAAUGCUCAUUUAGACUAACGUUAAACAUGUGACAUUACCUCGAGCGCAAACAAGACUAAAAACCAAACUGGAAAGUUUUAAAUGCUUCAAAAUUCGAAACACUACACCAAGUCACAUUUAAGAUACACUGUGUGUAAAACAAAAUCGGGGGGUAUAUAAAACAUUAAAGCAUCUAAAAACACGCUUACCUCUGAAUUCUGCUGCACUGCAGGUCAGUUGUUCGUAAUUAAUUAAGUGAAGUGCUGCGCGUGGCCGCGUGCGCCGAGUCCUCCGAUACCAUGGUAACCAAACAUGUUGAAUAUUGGGUGAAGCCAUGACGUUAAUUUAACAUACAGAUCAUGAUAAAAAAAUGUCAACGUUGAUUUGUACAAGGAUUUCUGUAACUUUUUUCAACCAUUUAUCAUUCAACAUUGUUUCAACAUUAAAGCAACAACUGACGUAUUUUCAACCACAUUUCAACGUUGAAGCCUUGUCAUAUGCAGGCUGUUUUUCAACCGUUCAACAUUAAACGUUCUAUCAACAUUAUUUCAAUGUUCAAAACACAUCUGACCUUAUUUCAACCUUAUUUCAACGUUGAAGGUCGGUCGUCUGCCGGCUGGGGUAACAACUGAAUUUGAUGUGGUGGCCUCUGGGAAAUUACCAGGGCACUAUUCGGC